UUUAUCUCUGAGUUCCAGGCUGUAGAUGAUACCAGUCAUUUUUACUUAUUAUAAAGCACCUUUUUAAUCUUGAAUCCACUUCUGAUUGAUUCUGUUACUUGUUUCCAGAGUCAUGAAGGGAGAGGAUCCAGGGUUCAGGAAGUGCAAGAAUGGAUGAGAUUUGCCAUAUUGCUUAGCAACCUGUCUCCAAACAUUUUUCAGAGUUCCGCCCAAGGACCAGGUACAGGGAGGAAGUCCGCUCUGAACCUGCAGAUAGCCUAUUGAUCUCGGCCGUUGUUCGACUAGUGUGGAUGCAUUCAUUCGUCAUUCAUUCAGUCAAUAUGUGUCCAGCACCUACUUGACUCUAGGCAUAAUUCUGGGCUACAGAGAGACAGCAGAGAGCAAAAUAAGGCCCCUGUUCUCAGACAGUUAACGUUCUGGGGGAAGACUUCUUUCAACCCAGUUGAAUAGUGACCCAGCAUUGCUAUUGGGAACAAACAAAAAGGUGCUUCAGUACUGCCCGUCAUGACAUCUUCCCUCAUCUGGUGCACUGCUGCUGUCUGUAGUCUCAUGGUGGUACCCCCUGAUUCACACCUCCAAGCUGUGGUCUCUGGGUGCUCCCAAUAUUUCCAGUUCUUAGAGCCCAAGAACAGUGCUGGGGCAACUAGAAAUGGGAGGAAGGGGCCUCCUCCUCUUCCUUCCCUAAUUUUGACAGGUCUCUCAAAGCCUCUUUUGAAGAGUUCCAUCAACUUCAGCUUCUCUCCUCUAUUGGUGAGCUCAAAACCAUUCCAAGGAACUAGGUGGACACUGGAAGCCCUUCUAUCUCUUUCCAUUCUUCAAUUGCUUCACCUCCCAGCUUCUUCCCCUCCCCAGACUUCCUCUCCAUGUUCUCUGUUACAAAAUUAAAGCUCCUUCCAUAUGUGCGCAUACAUGCUGGCUAACACUGACGUGGAUGUAGGAUCAGUAGUGGAAGUAGGGUGUC